rnacentral:rRNA from 1 species
UACGUAGGGGGCAAGCGUUGUCCGGAUUUAUUGGGCGUAAAGAGCGUGUAGGCGGCCAUACAGGUCAGCUGUGAAAACUCGAGGCUCAACCUCGAGACGUCGGUUGAAACCGUAUGGCUAGAGUCCGGAAGAGGAGAGUGGAAUUCCCGGUGUAGCGGUGAAAUGCGCAGAUAUCGGGAAGAACACCCGUGGCGAAGGCGGCUCUCUGGGACGGUACUGACGCUGAGACGCGAAAGCGUGGGGAGCGAAAAGG